AACGAGCGCAACCCUUGUCCUAGUUACCAGCACGUUAUGGUGGGCACUCUAAGGAGACUGCCGGUGACAAACCGGAGGAAGGUGGGGAUGACGUCAAGUCAUCAUGGCCCUUACGGCCUGGGCUACACACGUGGCUACAAUGGUCGGUACAAAGGGUUGCCAAGCCGCGAGGUGGAGCUAAUCCCAUAAAACCGAUCGUAGUCCGGAUCGCAGUCUGCAACUCGACUGCGUGAAGUCGGAAUCGCUAGUAAUCGUGAAUCAGAAUGUCACGGUGAAUACGUUCCCGGGCCUU
rnacentral:rRNA from 1 species